GUGUUGUAUUUGACCCCUCCUGCAGAAGCUGAUUCGGUGUAAGAGUAAGGAGGUGAGGGAGAAGGGUGUGUACCAGGUGUUGGACUGGGUGGAUGCAGAGAGGCCCAACAGCAUCAAGGUGUUCUGGAAAUGUGUGUUCAGGGACCACCUCCUGCUGCAGUACCCCACGUUACGCCUGCUCCGAAACCGCCUGCUGGACGGGUCGUUCACAUUUUAUGAGAAUCUGCCAGAGAAGGUGGAGAAUGAAGAGGAGGAGGAGGAUAAGAAGAAGAAGGGUUCAGCGGAAGGAGAAGAUGAGGAAGAGAAGACAAGAAGGAAAAAGAGGAACCAGAAAAAGAGAAGUGAGAGUGUGGAGGAGCAGCCCAGCACGUCCACACAGUCCAACCCCAGUCAGAAGAGGAAAGUUCAGAGGCCGACCUACUCAUCUCCUUUCAGUAAGAAUGAGAAAGCUGACAUCUGA